CUACGGGUCGCUCCAGUGAGGAAUAUUGGGCAAUGGGCGCAAGCCUGACCCAGCCAUGCCGCGUGAAGGAUGACUGCCCUAUGGGUUGUAAACUUCUUUUGUACGGGAAGAAUGGUUCCUACGUGUAGGGAUUUGACGGUACCGUAAGAAUAAGCAUCGGCUAACUCCGUGCCAGCAGCCGCGGUAAUACGGAGGAUGCAAGCGUUAUCCGGAUUCAUUGGGUUUAAAGGGUGCGCAGGCGGAAUAUUAAGUCAGUGGUGAAAUCCUGCAGCUUAACUGUAGAACUGCCAUUGAUACUGAUAUUCUUGAAUGUAGUUGAGGUAGGCGGAAUGUGUAAUGUAGCGGUGAAAUGCUUAGAUAUUACCCAGAACACCAAUUGCGAAGGCAGCUUACUAAACUAAUAUUGACGCUGAGGCACGAAAGCGUGGGGAGCGAACAGGAUUAGAUACCCCCGUAGUC
rnacentral:rRNA from 1 species